CGGACGCUCGUGUUGCUGGUGAUAUGUCAAGGUUGUGCGGCGUCCUUAGACGGUGUCUUAAUGAUGAUACGUGUAACAACGCACCGCUCCCGCAGUCGCAGCGGAAGCCGCGCGCGCGCGCCUCGCAGCGGCCGCCGUGCUGGCACACGCGCUCGGCGCACGCGUCGCGCUCGCGCUCGCAUCGCGCGCCCGAGAACGUCUCCGAGCACUCGCAGUACGCCUUCUGGAGGUGCAUUAACAAAUACCUUCAAACAGUACCAUACUGACGAAUGGAAAAAUAUAAAGCGUUCUACUGACGAAGAUGAAACCCGUUGCGGACUGACCUCAGCAUCGACGACGCAGCGGCCGUGCACGCAGGGCGUCACCUCACAGAACGCCUUCUCGCAGUGGACGCCC